AUGAAAAGGAAAUCAAUAUAUUUCUUAUUGAAGGUAUAUGAAUGCGGCUUAAGCUUAAGAAUACAAGUUUUUAAGUUAAUUUGAAGUGGUACUUUUUAGUAAAAAAAAGUGACAAACAGUCAUGCUCAGUGUGUAAGUCUGUUACAUGCAUGUGGAUAUGAUGUAUGCUGAAACAAGGGUACCCAUAGUUUGUUGCUUUAGUAAUAUAUAUAUUGCUCUUUUACAAUUUGCGUUUUUUUCAGUGUUGAAUUAUACGAUUUAUAAAUGAAACGACUUUGAUAAUAUCAAAAGAAUACUUAAAUGUCUUUAUGAUUAUUAUGAAGAAAGUUAUUUACUGUGUAAGUGAAAUAAGAAACUUUACUGCAGAAGACAAGCUUAACUUGCAAAAUGACAUUUCCGAAUCUGAUUAGAAAUUAUAGAUUCGUAUAUCAAGGUUCACUUUUUACUUUGACGAAUACCUACCUAUGUUAAACGUUACUUUCUUACAUGUUUGUUUUUUAACUUUUAUAAGAGAGUAGUUUGGGUUGCCUACCGACACAUUCAAUUUCUGAGAGUUAAUUUUUGUUAUUUAUGUGAAUUUGACCAUCAAAGGUGACUUUUCAUUCGUACGACAGGUCCGGAUUAAAAUUAUUUGUGAGAUGUCUACUGACUACAAUUAAUAUUUCUGGUGAAGGUUGAAAUUAAGUUAAAAUUUUUAAUUGUAAUGUUUAGGUAAAAGUCUUGAAUGAAUUCCAAAGAUUGAUAAUAAUAGCGCAUGUUUAUUUUCCCAAAUUUAUCUAUUAAAGAUUUGGAUAUUUUUUGAAUAUGCGUUGAUAAAUUUUCAGCUAAUUUUACUCAAUUACACAAUAAAAUUAAAAUGCAUGCACUGAAUUUAAAAUUCAUCGUUUAAUUGCUCAGUAGUGUUAAUUGGCUCAACAUAAACUAAUUGUUUUAAGUGGACCCAUAAAAUGUCUGAAGGGUUAAGUUAUAAAUAUUUUUUAUUGAAAUGUGUUUGCUUUUUUUCUACUUUAGAAUGAUCAAUGAAUUGGUAAAUAAAAUAUUAACGUAUUUUUUAAGACUGAAAAUCUAAAUGAAGUUUUAUCUGAAGAAAGUUACUCUUUGAUUUAUAAUUAGAAUUCUAGUUUUUUUAUAUAACAUUUCAUUUUGGCCGUUUAGUUGCGAAACACCCUGUAUAAAUACUUAACUGUACUUGAAUUUUCAUUAUAAAUUUUCAUUUAUUUUCGGAAGUAAUCCAAUGAAAAUGAAUAAUAAAAAUUCUGUUUGAAUUUAAUAGUGGAAAUAUUUUCCUGAAUUCGGAUCUGCUUUGUUGAGUUGUUUAUUCUUCAAACGAAAUUGCUUUUACAUAUUGAAAGUGGAAAAUUAAAUGGCUUUUAACCGUAGAAGAAAUAAAUGUGACGAACUGUUGAAAGUAUGCGGUCUGGUAUCGCUGAGGGAGCGGGGUAAAGAGACUACGGUGAAAGGAACCGUUUGAAUGUUUUAUCUCAUAUCGUUAUCUCUUGAGAUUAUUAGCUUGGCAACAUGACUCAUGUUGUUUGAACGAUUGCUUACGAAAAUAAUAUAAAGACUUCUUAGGUAUAAUUUAGAAUAAAUAAUUAACAAAUGCUAAAUUGCAAGUUUUUUGUAUUAAUUAUUUUUUAAGUUCCAAUCUUGCUAAUAAUCCGCUAAACCAUUAUCUAUAAAUUGGAAAUAUAAAUAGGCGUUUAACAUAAAUAUUUUUUUCAUUUAGAUAUUUAGUUUUAUAUUUUUAUUUUUUCGUUAUUUCAAAAGCAGGUCUUUGUUUCAUUCUUAGAUAAUGUAUAUUUCUAAACAUAAUUUAAACCAGAAUAUUUAUUUUUCGUCUCUAAUGCUCUAUUUUUAAAGUGUUCUCCAUUUUUCUCGCUCUCGUAUACAAUUAUUUCUAGAGUUGUGGUCAGGCGAUAGAACUUGCAGGAAGUAAAACGUACGUAAUUUCAAUUUUGUAAAAGUGGGGUGGAAAGUCGUCAAGCAAUCGAUUAAAUUACGAAAUAUUUGCCGCGAACCGUCGCAGAAGUCUAAUAUGAUGCUUCUGCGUACCGUUUCUACGUCAUUACCGCUUCGGGCAGUAGCAUUCUUGCAAGCCUGUUAGCAGUGUCCAGUGCAUAAGUGUAUCUCGUUUCUGUAGUCCGCUGGUCUAUGCUGUCUAUAAACGAAGACGAUGCCUGAAGGCUUGCUGUGAUAACAACCUAGGAUUGGAUAGACAAACUAUUUUAUUUCCAAAAAUGCCUCUAAUGAGCUGAUUGAAAAAUUCAAUGGACAUGAUAUGUUAACAAUGGUUUCCAUUAAAACAUAAAGAUGAACAUGAGAUAAAUCAAAACGAGUCGACACGUGGAGUAACAGAGCCCCACUCAUACUUUCUUCUCUUGGACUUGGAAAGGGCGGUUGUAUUUAUGAACUGGUUAUCAUUUAAACACGUUAAAUGAACAAGGAGACAAACAAGUAAGAAGGAUUCGAAACCUGGAGAAGCGAAGUCCCGUUAAUGUUUUUUAGGAAAAACAUGCAGUUUAAUCAUACUGGUGUACACAAGAUUGCACAUGUGACGUUGUGUCUUCUGCUCUGUGGCUCAUUUCACCAUCAGCGGUAUUAGUAUUCCUUUCAACUGCUGUCAACGCUUAGGACUCGAGCACCUUCGGUAUUCGUCGAGAUUGUUCAACAAAUGCAAAAGAAAUAAAGUUCAGUUUGGUCCUACCAAUGUCUACUGGGGCGGCAUCUUUCCUGGAUUGUAUUCUAGAUUAGCUGUUUACAUCUUUGCCUUGCAACAUUAUGAAGUUAAUUUUCAACUGAUGUGUGAGAGCAACUGGAGAUUAAUUUGAAUUCCAUGGAAACAACAAAUUUUCUGCGAUGGUAUCUCUGCCGGAUUUGUUUUGCUUUUUACACCUUCAAAGUUUGGAACGUUACAGUCCACAGUUAAUUAAGAUCGACGCUGGAGAAGACAAAGAAGAUCCCGUAGUUAAAA